GUUGAAACACCAGUUCUCGUACGAUGUCCGAAGUUAAGCAACGUCGUGCCUAGUCACUAACUAGAUGGCUGAUCGCUUGGGAAUACCAGGUGCUGCAAG